CAGCAGCCGCGGGAAUACGGAGGGUGCAAGCGUUAAUCGGAAUUACUGGGCGUAAAGCGCACGCAGGCGGUCUGACAAGUCAGAUGUGAAUUCCCCGGGCUUAACCUGGGAACUGCAUUUGAAACUGUCAGGCUGGAGUCUUGUAGAGGGGGGUGGAAUUCCAGGUGUAGCGGUGAAAUGCGUAGAGAUCUGGAGGAAUACCGGUGGCGAAGGCGGCCCCCUGGACAAAGACUGACGCUCAGGUGCGAAAGCGUGGGGAGCAAACAGGAUUAGAUACCCCUGUAGUCCCUGUCUCUUAUAC
rnacentral:rRNA from 1 species